rnacentral:rRNA from 1 species
AUUGAGCGCUGGCGGCAGGCCUAACACAUGCAAGUCGAACGGUAACAGGAAGCAGCUUGCUGCUUUGCUGACGAGUGGCGGACGGGUGAGUAAUGUCUGGGAAACUGCCUGAUGGAGGGGGAUAACUACUGGAAACGGUAGCUAAUACCGCAUAACGUCGCAAGACCAAAGAGGGGGACCUUCGGGCCUCUUGCCAUCGGAUGUGCCCAGAUGGGAUUAGCUAGUAGGUGGGGUAACGGCUCACCUAGGCGACGAUCCCUAGCUGGUCUGAGAGGAUGACCAGCCACACUGGAACUGAGACACGGUCCAGACUCCUACGGGAGGCAGCAGUGGGGAAUAUUGCACAAUGGGCGCAAGCCUGAUGCAGCCAUGCCGCGUGUAUGAAGAAGGCCUUCGGGUUGUAAAGUACUUUCAGCGGGGAGGAAGGGAGUAAAGUUAAUACCUUUGCUCAUUGACGUUACCCGCAGAAGAAGCACCGGCUAACUCCGUG